CCGGCGUACAGCUUCAGGGUCAUGUGGCCAGCAUGACUAAGCCGCUUCUGGCGAACCAGAGCAGCGCACGGAAACGCCAUUUACCUUCCCGCCGGAGCGGUACCUAUUUAUCUACUUGCACUUUGACCUGCUUUCGAACUGCUAGGUUGGCAGGAGCAGGGACUGAGCAACGGGAGCUCACCCCGUCGUGGGGAUUCGAACCGCCGACCUUCUGAUCGGCAAGUCCUAGGCUCUGUGGUUUAACCCACAGCGCCACCCGCGUCCC